rnacentral:rRNA from 1 species
GCUGAACUUAAGCAUAUCAUAACGGGGGGAGGAAAAUCAUUACCGAGUGCGGGGCCGCUCUGGGCCAACCUCACGUGUCUC